AGGCAGCAGUGGGGAAUAUUGGACUAUGGGCGCAAGCCUGAUCCAGCCAUGCCGCGUGUGUGAAGAAGGCCUUUUGGUUGUAAAGCACUUUAAGCGAGGAGGAGGGUAACCUAGCUAAUAUCUAGGAUUAUCGGACGUUACUCGCAGAAUAAGCACCGGCUAACUCUGUGCCAGCAGCCGCGGUAAUACAGAGGGUGCGAGCGUUAAUCGGAAUUACUGGGCGUAAAGCGCGCGUAGGCGGUUUGUUAAGUCGGAUGUGAAAUCCCCGGGCUCAACCUGGGAACUGCAUUCGAUACUGGCAAGCUAGAGUAUGGGAGAGGAUGGUAGAAUUCCAGGUGUAGCGGUGAAAUGCGUAGAGAUCUGGAGGAAUACCGAUGGCGAAGGCAGCCAUCUGGCCUAAUACUGACGCUGAGGUGCGAAAGCAUGGGGAGCAAACAGGAUUAGAUACCCUGGUAGUCCAUGCCGUAAACGAUGUCAACUAGCCGUUGGGGACCUUGAGUCUUUAGUGGCGCAGCUAACGCGAUAAGUUGACCGCCUGGGGAGUACGGCCGCAAGGUUUAAACUCAAAUGAAUUGACGGGGGC
rnacentral:rRNA from 1 species